GGAUAAGAUGGACGACUUAAUCGGGAUUCUUUCCUCAAAGAUCAGGUUAACGAAAUUCACGAUAAUAUUUGCGCUGGUUAUUCCACAGAAAAUGUCUACAACUUAUGCAGUACUAGCUAUGUUGUAUGUCUUCUGUAACAAUAAUAUUGUUUAAGGACAUUAUAUCUUCAACAACCAGACAUCAAUCUUGGCCGGUAGCGGUCCCCCGGGCAAAGAGAUCAACAGCGUUUCCCAGAUGGUUUAAAUCGGGACACAAACUUCGUCACC
rnacentral:sRNA from 1 species